AAAACAUUAAUUUGAAAAGAUAUAUGCACCCCUAUGUUUACUGCAGCAUUAUUUACAACAGCCAAGAUAUGUUGGCAACCUAAGCGUCCUCUGAUAGAGAAAUGAAUAACGAAGAUUUGGGGUGUGUGUGUGUGUGUGUGUGUGUGUG